CGCGGGGUGGAGCAGUCUGGUAGCUCGUCGGGCUCAUAACCCGAAGGUCAGGGGUUCAAAUCCUCUCCCCGCUACCA
rnacentral:tRNA from 1 species